UACGUAGGGUGCAAGCGUUGUCCGGAAUUAUUGGGCGUAAAGAGCUCGUAGGCGGUCUGUCGCGUCGGCUGUGAAAUCCCGAGGCUCAACCUCGGGUCUGCAGUCGAUACGGGCAAACUAGAGUAUUGCAGGGGAGACUGGAAUUCCGGUGUAGCGGUGAAAUGCGCAGAUAUCAGGAGGAACACCGGUGGCGAAGGCGGGUCUCUGGGCCGAUACUGACGCUGAGGAGCGAAAGCGUGGGGAGCGAACAGG
rnacentral:rRNA from 1 species